GCAUAAUAAUUUGCCUCUUAAUUAGAGGCUUGUAUGAAGGAACACACGCGAGUACAGCUGUUUCGCUUUUACCCCUAAAAAUUAUCCUCCAGGUGAAGAGACCUGGAUUAACCAGAAAGACAAAAAGACCCUAUUGAGCUUUACCUAAAGUUUAUUAUAAGGACAUUUCAAACUCCCACCCAUAAACCUAGGUUCUGUUGGGGCGACAAAAGAAGACCUAAAUCUUCUUUCUUCUAUCAGGCAACUAGCCCAUAAUAAUUGAUCCAAACCCCCUGAUCAUCGAAACUAGCUACCCUAGGGAUAACAGGCUAAUUUUCUUUGAGAGCCCAAAUUGACAAGAAAGAUUGGCACCUCGAUGUUG
rnacentral:rRNA from 1 species